UAUCUGUUUUUAGGGUUCCUUAAUACAAUUAUUAUGGCAGAUACUUGAAAAACCAUAUUUUUUCCGCAAAAAUUCCGACAUCUCAUAACAUUAACAUCGAACACUACACGUAGGUUACGCGACACACAAUAGUAAUCACUAAUAGUUUUCCACCGGAGUAGCAAUAGGCUAACGCAGCAAACCUCUCGAAGUGAUGGAUCUGCAGUUGUGUCACAAUCACCUUUUCAAAUGUUAGUUUUUUUUAUUUAGAUACUUUUGUGAUAAAUAUUAGGGAUAAAUAGUUUGACCAGAGCCGCUUGUUCGUGAAGGAGGCCGAGAGAAUUAUACGAUUUUUUUCUUUUGCCAGCGUAUGCAUUAUGCUAGUAUUAUAACCCCAAAAAUAAUAAGCAUAGUUUUUUAUCUACGUCCAUAUCAUUUUAUUUAUUUAUAUAUUUUAUUUUUAACCUCUAUAUGAUAUUUUAAAAACUAUAAACUAACGGCCUAUAUUAACAAACCUGUAUCUGUGGGUGCAAUUUACGUUAUCGAUAACACAUAACUUAAUUACAUUAAAAUUUUGAACAUCUCUGUGAAACAAAAAAAAUUGAUUUGGCCUCUAUUCUAAUAUCAAUCGAGAUUUUUAUUCGAAAUGAAGUGUCAGUUGCAAACAAAAAAAAAUUGAUUUGGCCUCUAUUCUAAUAUCAAUCGAGAUGACGUUUUAUUCGAAAUGAAGUGUCAGUUGCAAACAAUUUUGACAAAUUUCGCAUGUUACUUGAUAUCGAACGAUAUGGCAGUGACUAGUUUGUCCCUGAUUUAAAAAAAAACAACGGAUGUGUGACAUGCGAGAAAAAGUUUGCAUAACCGCCAUUUUUUGACGUUUAAUUAGUUUAUAAGUAUAAAAAAUUAUUUUGUUUUGUUGAAGCUUAUUAUAUGGAUGUAUAUAAAGCAGUCAGAGUAACUGUACAUAAUUAGGCAUUAAAAUACUCGUGUCAUCCUUUUAUGAAACUCAUUUCAUUUGUUUCAUAAACCCACACUAGUAUUGUAAUGCCUUUCAUUACAGUAGCAGUGACAUAAUCUACUAUUAUUCUACUGUUACUUCCAAAAUUGGUUUACCAGACUGUAGAUAUUUAUUGUUUAAUUAAAGAAUCAACUUUAUGUUCUGUUAAACAAAAAAGCUCCUAAUUGGAGUUAUCACUUUUUUACUACAAAAUAUUAUUAGUGCUAUUAAUAUUAAUGAAAUGAUGUGCAAUUCAAGAGCAUUGUGUUUUGUGCUACAACUGUAUUUUGGUCAAUUCGUUCAUCAAUUCAUUUAAACUCAUUCUGUAGAGUAAUAAUAAAUAUACAUUGCUUUAUUUUGUAAAUACAAUUUGUAAGGUAUAUAUGCGUGUUUACUAAUAGACAUAUUUUGAAAAUAUGUUUGUCAAUUGUGCUGUGAGAUUAGCGUUCGUUUAAUUGUUGCUAAUAAUUUAAAAAGUCAAUUCAAAUUUCACUAAUAGUUAUUUUUGAUAAUAAAAUGGAACAGUGUUGUUGCAAAUACAAUUUGAUAAUGAUAAUUGUCAAACAUGUUUUUACAAGAUUUAGUUACCUUGAAAUAUUUAUUUCGGCUUCAAAAUAUAUUUUGAUAACUUAUUUGUUUAGAAAGUAUAGGUAUAAAUUUUCUCUUGCCCAACAAUUGAACGCGCGCGAAAAACGAUUGAUAAAAUCUAACGUUAAGUUAAAAAAAGUUUGUAAUAUAUAGUUGAUAACUAUUGUAGUUAAAAAUACAAAAUAUAUUAUCUAUAAAAUGAAAAUAAUUUUCCAUGGAAUUCAUUAAAUUUAAGCAUUAAGAGUUUGACAUUUCGACAUUUUUUUUUUGUAUUAAGUACUUACAGUGUUUUACAAAAUAAAUGACUGUAGCAUAAAGUCGUCCUAGUGUGCGUGUUCCGUCACGACUUCAUAAGCCAAUCAGAGCACAGCAGAAUGAUUGUUGUCCAAUCAAAAAAGCGUAUCACAGCUUACUUCUCCACUCAUUUAUUUUGUAAAACACUUUAUCUGUAAAUUAGAACCAGAGAUUUGACAUGCAAUACAAUUCGUUAUUUUGCCAUUUUGACAAGCUUGCGGCGAGGUCUGUAAGCAGUUUGUAAGUGCAGCUGUAAUUGAGAAAUUAUUCAUUAAAAUAUAAUAGAUAAAUCUAUUGACAAAAUA